rnacentral:rRNA from 1 species
GACGAACGCUGGCGGCGUGCUUAACACAUGCAAGUCGAACGGAAAGGCCCUGCUUUUGUGGGGUGCUCGAGUGGCGAACGGGUGAGUAACACGUGAGUAACCUGCCCUUGACUUUGGGAUAACUUCAGGAAACUGGGGCUAAUACCGGAUAGGAGCUCCUGCUGCAUGGUGGGGGUUGGAAAGUUUCGGCGGUUGGGGAUGGACUCGCGGCUUAUCAGCUUGUUGGUGGGGUAGUGGCUUACAAAGGCUUUGACGGGUAGCCGGCCUGAGAGGGUGACCGGCCACAUUGGGACUGAGAUACGGCCCAGACUCCUAAGGGAGGCAGCAGUGGGGAAGAUUGCACAAUGGGCGGAAGCCUGAUGCAGCAACGCCGCGUGCGGGAAGACGGCCUUCGGGUGGUAAACCGCUUUCGCCUGUGACGAAGCGUGAGUGACGGUAAUGGGUAAAGAAGCACCGGCUAACUACGU